AAAGGGGGGAGCCUGUCUAUACAUCGCAAGUCGAACGAACUCUGGUAUUGAUUGGUGCUUGCAUCAUGAUUUACAUUUGAGUGAGUGGCGAACUGGUGAGUAACACGUGGGAAACCUGCCCAGAAGCGGGGGAUAACACCUGGAAACAGAUGCUAAUACCGCAUAACAACUUGGACCGCAUGGUCCGAGUUUGAAAGAUGGCUUCGGCUAUCACUUUUGGAUGGUCCCGCGGCGUAUUAGCUAGAUGGUGGGGUAACGGCUCACCAUGGCAAUGAUACGUAGCCGACCUGAGAGGGUAAUCGGCCACAUUGGGACUGAGACACGGCCCAAACUCCUACGGGAGGCAGCAGUAGGGAAUCUUCCACAAUGGACGAAAGUCUGAUGGAGCAACGCCGCGUGAGUGAAGAAGGGUUUCGGCUCGUAAAACUCUGUUGUUAAAGAAGAACAUAUCUGAGAGUAACUGUUCAGGUAUUGACGGUAUUUAACCAGAAAGCCACGGCUAACUACGUGCCAGCAGCCGCGGUAAUACGUAGGUGGCAAGCGUUGUCCGGAUUUAUUGGGCGUAAAGCGAGCGCAGGCGGUUUUUUAAGUCUGAUGUGAAAGCCUUCGGCUCAACCGAAGAAGUGCAUCGGAAACUGGGAAACUUGAGUGCAGAAGAGGACAGUGGAACUCCAUGUGUAGCGGUGAAAUGCGUAGAUAUAUGGAAGAACACCAGUGGCGAAGGCGGCUGUCUGGUCUGUAACUGACGCUGAGGCUCGAAAGUAUGGGUAGCAAACAGGAUUAGAUACCCUGGUAGUCCAUACCGUAAACGAUGAAUGCUAAGUGUUGGAGGGUUUCCGCCCUUCAGUGCUGCAGCUAACGCAUUAAGCAUUCCGCCUGGGGAGUACGGCCGCAAGGCUGAAACUCAAAGGAAUUGACGGGGGCCCGCACAAGCGGUGGAGCAUGUGGUUUAAUUCGAAGCUACGCGAAGAACCUUACCAGGUCUUGACAUACUAUGCAAAUCUAAGAGAUUAGACGUUCCCUUCGGGGACAUGGAUACAGGUGGUGCAUGGUUGUCGUCAGCUCGUGUCGUGAGAUGUUGGGUUAAGUCCCGCAACGAGCGCAACCCUUAUUAUCAGUUGCCAGCAUUAAGUUGGGCACUCUGGUGAGACUGCCGGUGACAAACCGGAGGAAGGUGGGGAUGACGUCAAAUCAUCAUGCCCCUUAUGACCUGGGCUACACACGUGCUACAAUGGAUGGUACAACGAGUUGCGAACUCGCGAGAGUAAGCUAAUCUCUUAAAGCCAUUCUCAGUUCGGAUUGUAGGCUGCAACUCGCCUACAUGAAGUCGGAAUCGCUAGUAAUCGCGGAUCAGCAUGCCGCGGUGAAUACGUUCCCGGGCCUUGUACACACCGCCCGUCACACCAUGAGAGUUUGUAACACCCAAAGUCGGUGGGGUAACUCUUUUAGGAACCAGCCGCGCUAACGGUAGUUCAGCGU
rnacentral:rRNA from 1 species